rnacentral:rRNA from 1 species
AACGAACGCUGGCGGCAUGCCUAACACAUGCAAGUCGAACGAGAUCUUCGGGUCUAGUGGCGCACGGGUGCGUAACGCGUGGGAAUCUGCCCUUUGGUUCGGAAUAACAGGUGGAAACGACUGCUAAUACCGGAUGAUGACGAAAGUCCAAAGAUUUAUCGCCAGAGGAUGAGCCCGCGUAGGAUUAGCUAGUUGGUGGGGUAAAGGCGCACCAAGGCGACGAUCCUUAGCUGGUCUGAGAGGAUGAUCAGCCACACGGGGACUGAGACACGGGCCAGGCUCCUACGGGCGGCAGCAGUGGGGAAUAUUGGACAAUGGGAGUGAGCCUGAUCCAGCAAUGCCGCGUGAGUGAUGAAGGCCUUAGGGUUGUAAAGCUCUUUUACCCGGGAUGAUAAUGACAGUACCGGGAGAAUAAGCUCCGGCUAACUCCGUGCCAGCCGCCGCAGUAA